GAGAGCACUCUCGUCUCUUCGGCGACAUCCGAUAAAAUUGGAACGAUACAGAGAAGAUUAGCAUGGUCGCUGCGCAAGGAUGACACGCACAAAUGGAGAAAUGGUUCAAAUUUUUUCGAGAUUUUGCGCUAUCACCCCUGUACUUUUCUGCUUGGCCCCUUUAUGUUUUCCGAGACUUCACACUUAUGA
rnacentral:rRNA from 1 species